rnacentral:sRNA from 1 species
CAUGUAUGAGUUACCAUCGAGCUAGGGUACAGAAUCAUCAUGAGCUUGCGAAUACACUCGUAUUCCCCCUCCAUUAAUGCAGAUACGUGAUUUCGCCAAGUUUCGUGCAAGUCGAAUCCAUUCAGGGAAUCGUGGACAUUAGUGGCAAGUGCGGGGACUUUGCAUGGGGGGCACUCAUUGAAGUGUAACUAAUUACUGUUUAUUUAUUAAGGGGUUCAGAGCAGCAAACUGCUGACAGUACUUACUCAAUACCGCCGAUGUACAUGUACAUGUACAAUACUUGGUAAUAAGCUCCUCAAAGGACAACUACUUUUCCGCCCCGCUUUUUCAAUGUCAAUAUUUCGAUGGGCUUCGGAACUUUGUAAUUCAGCAACUUCUCAGAGGGGUGUUGACUGAAGUCGAUUAUUUUUCAUUUCCAGCUCAUCUCAUGGGAAAGAGGAAACAAGCAAUUAGGGAUUCAAAAAUAAAUACAAUA